GACAGAGGGUGCAAACGUUGUUCGGAAUUACUGGGCGUAAAGCGUGUGUAGGCGGCCAGAUAAGUUGGGUGUGAAAGCCCGGGGCUCAACCCCGGAAGUGCACUCAAUACUGUUUGGCUUGAGUAUCGGAGAGGUUGGUGGAAUUCUCGGUGUAGAGGUGAAAUUCGUAGAUAUCGAGAGGAACAUCGGUGGCGAAGGCGGCCAACUGGACGAAUACUGACGCUGAGACACGAAAGCGUGGGGAGCAAACAGG
rnacentral:rRNA from 1 species